UGGACUGGGGAUGAGGAGCCUCCGAGAACCACAGGUUACUAUUAAUCCAAUUCUGUGCACCUGAGGUCCAUA
rnacentral:snoRNA from 1 species